UACGUAGGGGGCAAGCGUUGUCCGGAUUUAUUGGGCGUAAAGGGUGCGUAGGCGGUCCUAUAAGUCAGUUGUGAAAUACGGCAGCUUAACUGUCAAGGUGCAAUUGAUACUGCAGGACUUGAGUACAGACGAGGUAGGCGGAAUUGACGGUGUAGCGGUGAAAUGCUUAGAUAUCGUCAAGAACACCGAUAGCGAAGGCAGCUUACUAGACUGUAACUGACGCUGAUGCACGAAAGUGCGGGGAUCAAACAGG
rnacentral:rRNA from 1 species